rnacentral:rRNA from 1 species
UACGUAGGGUGCAAGCGUUGUCCGGAAUUAUUGGGCGUAAAGAGCGUGUAGGCGGCCCGAUUAGUCCGCUGUGAAAGUCCGGGGCUCAACCCUGGAAUGCCGGUGGAUACUGUCGGGCUAGAGUCCGGAAGGGGCGAGUGGAAUUCCUGGUGUAGCGGUGAAAUGCGCAGAUAUCAGGAAGAACACCAAUGGCGAAAGCAGCUUUCUGGGACGGUACUGACGCUGAGACGCGAAAGCGUGGGGAGCGAACAGG